GCUUACGGCCACACCGGCAUGAGUACACCUGAUCUCGUCCGAUCUCGGAAGCUAAGCAGGGUCGGGCCUGGUUAGUACUUGGAUGGGAGACCGCCUGGGAAUACCAGGUGCUGUAAGCU
ensembl:rRNA 5S_rRNA 5S ribosomal RNA